GACGACGCUGGCGGCGUGCCUAAUACAUGCAAGUCGAGCGAGCGGCGGACGGGUGAGUAAUGUAUGGGGAUCUGCCUGAUAGAGGGGGAUAACUACUGGAAACGGUGGCCAAUACCGCAUACUAUCGGAUGAACCCAUAUGGGAUUAGCUAGUAGGUGGGGUAACGGCUCACCUAGGCGACGAUCUCUAGCUGGUCUGAGAGGAGGAUCAGCCACACUGGAGCUGAGACACGGCCCAGACUCCUACGGGAGGCAGCAGUGGGGAAUAUUGCACAAUGGGCGCAAGCCUGAUGCAGCCAUGCCGCGUGUAUGAAGAAGGCCUUAGGGUUGUAAAGUACUUUCAGCGGGGAGGCGUUACCCGCAGAAGAAGCACCGGCUAACUCCGUGCCAGCAGCCGCGGUAAUAC
rnacentral:rRNA from 1 species